UAAUUAUUUUUUUUCACUUCAUCCUCAUUCAUACUGGAAAGCCAAUGGAACUUUUUUUUUCUCUCUGUAUUUACCACUGGAACAUCUUGGAAUUGAUUGAUCAGAGUUUGUUCGACUAAAUCUCAUCAGAAUUUUUAAGAUUUUAUCCAAAAAUUAACCUGGCGUGACUCAAAAACAGAAGUAAACAAAGACCUGUACCAUUUUACAAACAGCUCCUGAACUUCUUCUCGGCAGUAAACAGAUAGCUGACAAACUAAUGAAGCAUUUUGCAGCAGAAUAAAUAGAUGGAUACAUUUAUCAAAAUAUCACAAAGGAGAGUUUAACCCAAGAUACUGUCAUAUCAAUGAUUUACCAGUCAGAGGCGUGAUUCCAGUGUUGCUCAUUCUACUAGAAUUGCAAAUUAAGAGCUGUUUGCGAACACAUGAUGCUCAUGCAUUUAGAGUCUCUUGCACCAUCCCUGGAGCCGUUUUUAAAAAUCAAUUAUUGCACCAAGGGCAGAUAUCUUCAUUAAAUGCUGUCUCCUCUCCCUUUUCGUUUAAAAAAUUCAACUCAAAUGAAAGGAGAGCGCGGCGCAUUUUAUCAUUUAGCUCCAGCAUCAGUUUCGUACUCAAGAGCGAGUCAUUUCUAGUAAAAAUUAGACUCCUGCGCCUCUCAGAUCAGGAUAAUGAUCAUCUUUUUAAGUGUCUCCCUGAAACCGAGCUACACUGAAAUCCAGUCGCUGAGUGGCAGAACAAACAGCCACUUCUAUCCUCUACAACCUGGUGCUGCAGCAGACAGAUGUGCUGAUAUGCCAUCUAUAGCCGCAGGCCGUUUCUGACUUCUAAAGGCUUCCGCUGUCAAAGUGGGGCGCCUGGGAGCGCAUGACACAAAAGUUAAAUGAAGGUUAAAUGGAAGCACUUCAAAGUGGGAGAUCUCCACAGAAAAAUAACGGAGGAAAGGUUAAUGUGUGUCUUGUUGAGACACCAGAGCAGCUUGUAGCUUUUGGGCAUGACGGUUUGAGGUCCAGUUCGGGUCAGAACGCCCGUGGGCCGCCGUUUAUUGGUUUCAUUCAUGCUAUCAAUGAGCGCAGCACCGUUAAAGGCUUUAAACUGAUGCUUGGAGAGCAGUUUAACUCUGAGGUAGAUGUCCUUGCUACAUAUACUGUAAUACUGCAGGCAGAAAAUAGCUAUUUGGAUAUCAGGGAGUGGAAAUCUUCCUCUCCUUGUGUCUUAGAUUCAUGCCAGUGGUUCCAGUUUUGAAGUAUUUGAUUGUCAAGGAAAUAUGAACGUUUGAAAUCUGACGAUGGGGGCUGCCAUAUUAAAGGGAUAUUCCGGCGUAAAAUUAUUUUAUCAGUCAAACACACUGUAACACCCCCUCAAGAGAUGAAUGUUGCCAACCACUUGCUUCUCUAGUUAUACCGACUUUAGUAACGACCGCAGGAUAGCAAUACACAGCGGUCUGAGGAGACAUAAACAAACCUCAACCAAAACGCCACUCUAUAGCCACAAAUAAUGCUCAGAACAGCACCUAACUUCAUCAACAGUACAUAUAGAGUCCUAGCCAUAGUACUAGCCUCCAAACAUCUUUUUAACUUUGCCUGAUUUCUUUAGCAAAGAGACUAAACACAACUCACCCACUCUCUUCCAGCAGCCGUUUGUUUGUAGUGAGACUUUGGCUUAGUCCAUCAUUGACUGCAGCAGGGUGACACAGCUCAAGGAAGAACAUUUAUGAUCAUUUCUUUAUCAUUUCCUUGAAGUAAUAAUCGUCAUAUUAAU